CAAACAUUUCACAUUGUCAUCAAACAAUGGUGCUUACAAGCUGUGAUUUUUUUUUUUAACAUUUACUUUUGGUAAUCACACCCCUACCCUCCCCCCCCCCCCCCAACUGCAAGCUGACAGCUUGUGGUGGGGAAAAAAAAAAACCAAAACAUUAAUUUUAUAGGCCCUGAAUAACAGGCUUUGUUGAGGUUGCACCAGCAAAAGUAAAGCAAUUUGCAGUGCAGAAAUGAAUCUGAGCUGUUGAUGUGGGAAUCUUCUCCUGUGGAUCUGCUCUCCCUGAUCUGCUGUUUGUGCAAACACAGUGGAUUCCUGCUCCAGGAGCACAAACCUCAGCAGCCUGAUGCGGAGGAAAUCUGUAAUGCUGCUGGGCUGGCUGGGGAGAAGCAGCAGUCAAACCUGGCCCCUUGGAGAGCUCAGCUCCAAAGGAAAUCAUCUGGUUAUCUUGCUGUGGAUAGAGGAAGGCUGUAACUGGAACCUUCAUCAAUUGCAAACAAAAAUACUUGCUACCAAUGCAAAGAAGUUGAUUUCUUUUGAAGUGAGACAUCAAAACCAGUUUAUGAAGACAAACAGGACAUCCAACAGGUAUGAGAAGCAGACAGAGAGAGGUCCAGCAUACCAUCCCUAAGACUAUUACAGUAUUCCUUCACUUGUGCUUUGCUUUUCUCUUCCCCUUCUCUUAGUUGCACUCUUGCAGUUGUUAAUGACUGGUUAAUUGUGUAAGUUAAUAAUUUCCCCAUGGAGUAAUGUAUGGAGUGCAUAGAAAAAACAUACUGGUUACUAUACUAGUAGGGAACAUAUGAUCCUCUAUUCUAACGCUUUGCCUCCAGUGCAGUAGAACAUGAAAUAGUACAGGGAAAGGUAUAAACUUGCGUGUGUCUAAUUGUACAAUAUUGAGACAAGGGUGAAACGUUAUUCUUGAACUCAACAUUAAUAUUAGCUUACUAGCAUGAGUGUGAGGAGUAGUCACACAGUUUUACCUGUUUGAUCUAAUGGUUAUAUAGUCAUGGGUGUUAUAUUUAAUUGAUGUUGAUGGCUGUUUUUAAAACAUAGCUAUUUCAGUGAUUCAGCUAGAAGUAUAAGAUUGGAGAUGGAUUUCUACCCAGAUAUUUUUUUUCAAUUAUUAAAAAAUCCUUGGUGCAUGUUAUUGAUUACUAUUCUGAAAAAGGCAAUGACUGACCUUUAGUUUUAGUCAGUUCCUGAUUUGUUCCCAUGUCAUGUUGCUCCUGAAAAAUGUUAUUGUUGAAGACGAUUGGUUCCUUUUCUAGCUUUUAUUUAAAGAAGUAACAUUUUUUUUGUUGUUGUUUUUCUGCUUGGGAAAUACCCAAAUAUGUACUUAUGUAUAUUUAUGUUUGUGAAAUACAAACCACUAUUUGAUGCAGAACAAUUCCUGAAGUAUUUUUACAAGCACUUUUGAAAAUGAAUGUGGUGUCUGUCUCACAGAGUGGCACUCACUUUACUAACAUAGAAGUGUAAGUUAACAUAGAAAUAAACAUUUGAUAAACCAGUUUAUUUGUAAUACC
rnacentral:lncRNA from 1 species